AUGAACGCUGGCGGCGUGCCUAAUACAUGCAAGUCGAGCGAACAGAUGAGGAGCUUGCUCCUCUGACGUUAGCGGCGGACGGGUGAGUAACACGUGGAUAACCUACCUAUAAGACUGGGAUAACUUCGGGAAACCGGAGCUAAUACCGGAUAAUAUAUUGAACCGCAUGGUUCAAUAGUGAAAGACGGUUUUGCUGUCACUUAUAGAUGGAUCCGCGCCGCAUUAGCUAGUUGGUAAGGUAACGGCUUACCAAGGCAACGAUGCGUAGCCGACCUGAGAGGGUGAUCGGCCACACUGGAACUGAGACACGGUCCAGACUCCUACGGGAGGCAGCAGUAGGGAAUCAUCCGCAAUGGGCGAAAGCCUGACGGAGCAACGCCGCGUGAGUGAUGAAGGUCUUCGGAUCGUAAAACUCUGUUAUUAGGGAAGAACAAAUGUGUAAGUAACUAUGCACGUCUUGACGGUACCUAAUCAGAAAGCCACGGCUAACUACGUG
rnacentral:rRNA from 1 species